rnacentral:tRNA from 1 species
CGGGAUAGCUCACCGGUAGAGCAGAGGACUGAAA